rnacentral:rRNA from 1 species
GCCUGAUGCAGCCAUGCCGCGUGUGUGAAGAAGGCCUUCGGGUUGUAAAGCACUUUCAGCAGUGAGGAAGGCGGGUACGUUAAUAGUGUAUUCGUUUGACGUUAGCUGCAGAAGAAGCACCGGCUAACUCCGUGCCAGCAGCCGCGGUAAUACGGAGGGUGCGAGCGUUAAUCGGAAUUACUGGGCGUAAAGCGCAUGCAGGUGGUUCGUUAAGUCAGAUGUGAAAGCCCGGGGCUCAACCUCGGAACUGCAUUUGAAACUGGCGGACUAGAGUACUGUAGAGGGGGGUAGAAUUUCAGGUGUAGCGGUGAAAUGCGUAGAGAUCUGAAGGAAUACCGGUGGCGAAGGCGGCCCCCUGGACAGAUACUGACACUCAGAUGCGAAAGCGUGGGGAGCAAACAGGAUUAGAUA